GGACUACUGGGGUAUCUAAUCCUGUUCGCUACCCACGCUUUCGCUCCUCAGCGUCAGUUACUGCCCAGAGACCCGCCUUCGCCACCGGUGUUCCUCCUGAUAUCUGCGCAUUUCACCGCUACACCAGGAAUUCCAGUCUCCCCUGCAGUACUCAAGUCUGCCCGUAUCGCCCGCAAGCUUGGGGUUGAGCCCCAAGUUUUCACGGACGACGCGACAAACCGCCUACGAGCUCUUUACGCCCAGUAAUUCCGGACAACGCUCGCACCCUACGUAUUACCGCGGCGGCUGGCAC
rnacentral:rRNA from 1 species